rnacentral:rRNA from 2 species
AUUGAACGCUGGCGGCAUGCUUUACACAUGCAAGUCGGACGGCAGCACAGAGAAGCUUGCUUCUUGGGUGGCGAGUGGCGAACGGGUGAGUAACGCAUCGGAACGUACCGAGUAGUGGGGGAUAACUGUCCGAAAGGAUGGCUAAUACCGCAUACGCUUUGAGAAGGAAAGCGGGGGAUCUUCGGACCUCGCGCUAUUCGAGCGGCCGAUGUCUGAUUAGCUAGUUGGUGGGGUAAAGGCCUACCAAGGCGACGAUCAGUAGCGGGUCUGAGAGGAUGAUCCGCCACACUGGGACUGAGACACGGCCCAGACUCCUACGGGAGGCAGCAGUGGGGAAUUUUGGACAAUGGGCGCAAGCCUGAUCCAGCCAUGCCGCGUGUCUGAAGAAGGCCUUCGGGUUGUAAAGGACUUUUGUCAGGGAAGAAAAGCUUUGGGUUAAUACCCUGGAGUGAUGACGGUACCUGAAGAAUAAGCACCGGCUAACUACGUGCCAGCAGCCGCGGUAAUACGUAGGGUGCGAGCGUUAAUCGGAAUUACUGGGCGUAAAGCGAGCGCAGACGGUUUGUUAAGCAGGAUGUGAAAUCCCCGGGCUCAACCUGGGAACUGCGUUCUGAACUGGCAGGCUAGAGUAUGUCAGAGGGGGGUAGAAUUCCACGUGUAGCAGUGAAAUGCGUAGAGAUGUGGAGGAAUACCGAUGGCGAAGGCAGCCCCCUGGGAUAAUACUGACGUUCAUGCUCGAAAGCGUGGGUAGCAAACAGGAUUAGAUACCCUGGUAGUCCACGCCCUAAACGAUGUCAAUUAGCUGUUGGGGURCUUGAYRCCUUAGUAGCGUAGCUAACGCGUGAAAUUGACCGCCUGGGGAGUACGGUCGCAAGAUUAAAACUCAAAGGAAUUGACGGGGACCCGCACAAGCGGUGGAUGAUGUGGAUUAAUUCGAUGCAACGCGAAGAACCUUACCUGGUCUUGACAUGUACGGAAUCCUCCAGAGACGGAGGAGUGCCUUCGGGAGCCGUAACACAGGUGCUGCAUGGCUGUCGUCAGCUCGUGUCGUGAGAUGUUGGGUUAAGUCCCGCAACGAGCGCAACCCUUGUCAUUAGUUGCCAUCAUUUAGUUGGGCACUCUAAUGAGACUGCCGGUGACAAACCGGAGGAAGGUGGGGAUGACGUCAAGUCCUCAUGGCCCUUAUGACCAGGGCUUCACACGUCAUACAAUGGUCGGUACAGAGGGUAGCCAAGCCGCGAGGCGGAGCCAAUCCCAAAAAACCGAUCGUAGUCCGGAUUGCACUCUGCAACUCGAGUGCAUGAAGUCGGAAUCGCUAGUAAUCGCAGGUCAGCAUACUGCGGUGAAUACGUUCCCGGGUCUUGUACACACCGCCCGUCACACCAUGGGAGUGGGGGAUACCAGAAGUAGGUAGGGUAACCGCAAGGAGCCCGCUUACCACGGUAUGCUUCAUGACUGGGGUG